GCGACGCGCAAUCGGCGAUCACAGAGGGCUCCAGUCUACACUGGAUCGCCCUUAAAACCCGCGGCAUUGCGAAUCUCAGAUCACAACCCGGUACCGACGGCAAGAGAUCACAAUGAAACUCCUCAUCGCUUUUUCUCUGUUCGUUGCGGUGGCGAUGGCCCAGGAAGAGUGUGGAUGCACUCUAAUCGGAUCACUCAUGGCCAUUCUCGGAGAAGUCCCAAGCAUCCUGACAAGCAUAGGAAGUCUUAAUCUUCCUGAAGCGAUGGGAGGAGUGAUGAGUGUUCUCGAAGACGUGGGUCUCGUGAGUAGCAUGAGUAGCAGCUAAGGUUCGGGUACCAGUCUACGGCCAGGCAAAAUCUGACUACGAUGAAACCUCGCAUCUGGGGAGAGAAUUCUCUUCGGGAGACCCUCCCGGAGAAUCUGAAAUAAAGCAGGCAAUUUUCAA